AUGAAUAUUGAUUUUAGGCAUAAAUAUUGAUUUUGUAUUGAAAAAUUACUUAAUUUUUGAUAACAUUAUAUAUUUAUUUUUGUAGGAUAAAUUGUAUUAUCUAGAGGAUAAUAAUUUUUUUUAGUUGUAGUUUUUAAUUUUAGUUUGUUAUGGAAAUAUAGAACUAGUUAAUUUGAUUUAGGUUUGUUUAAAAUUGUGCCAGCAUACGCGGUUAUACAAUUAAUCCAAGUUAAUUUUUUUGGUUAUAUUAAUUUUUAUUUUUGGAAAUUUAAUUUAUAUUUGUUGAGUGAAAUCUUAAUUUAAUAUAUAAUUUCUUGGUUUAAGAUUAUAAAAAAUUUAAGUAUUAAACUAGGAUUAGAUACCCUAUUAUUUUAAAUGUAAAUUGUUAGACCAUAG
rnacentral:rRNA from 1 species